ensembl:snRNA U6 U6 spliceosomal RNA
UUGCUUCGGCAGCACAUAGACUAAAAUUGGAAUGAUAUAGAGAAGAUUAGAAUGGCCCCUGCACAAGGAUGACACGCAAAUUUGUGAAGCAUUCCAUAUUUAA